rfam:Gossypium hirsutum cultivar TM-1 chromosome 14, whole genome shotgun sequence
UGUUAAAAAAAUUUAUCUAUUUAUAUUAUUAAAAAUUAAUAUAGUUGAUGGAACAACUAGACAAUGGCAUGUGACAUGUCAUGUGCACCUCAUGUUGACAUACAAGAACAAAUUUUUAACAGUAAAAAUGGAUGAAAUUUUUAAUA